AGGCCAUGUAAAAGGACGUGAACCCCGGCCUUGAGUUCGACACCUACAGCUACAGAUGCACAAAACUCUUCCAGUGGAUGAUUCGCUCCAGAAAGUGCUGUCACGCCAGCCUGUUUGCGAGACGACAAAAACGAGGUUUCUGGGUUGAUGCGGGACGUUUUUUUUCUCUCCCAUCCUCAUUUGGAUUGGACCGUCUCUUCAUUAUCAUCAUCCUGCCUGCUGCUGCCGCCGUUGUGCGUCUCCGUGCGGCCCCCGUGGUGUUGUGACACUUGGCAUAGGUCAGCGUUUAGCCUCAAUUAUCAGACAAUCGGCGUUCACCCCCCGCUGGAUUCCAAACGCAGACAUUUCCUCCCCCCGCUCGUCUUUGCACCUCAAAGUUGGCGCGGUAGGAACGUCUUCUGGUGUGACGGACAUUUUAGUCAAUGUGACAGCUGGUGAAGUUGGGAGAAGGCGAUCAAUCAUUAGUCAGAUUGAUUGAAUGAGAGGCGACACUGUUACAUUUACUUCAUUACUUUUUGGAUAUGUUGUACCUGUCAGAGUAGUUUUCAUGCCACAUAUUUGGGGAUUUAUGUUAGAAAAAAACAUGACUUUGCUUUAUCAGUAUCAUGUUUCAAACACAGCAUCGACAGUCUGCAACAUUGUAGCCCAGACCUGGGCAAAUGAAGGCCCAGGGGCCGCAGGCGGCACGUUAAGCGUUUCAAUCUGGCCCGCCAGACAUUCCCAAAUAAUUUUUUUAGACCUUUAAGAUCAAAACUGCAGCUGCCAUUAUGAUGUGCAGUGAUGUUUUCAAAUGACCGUAAGUCUUGAAUUAUAAAAAGUAUUUAAAUGGUUGAAAUCUGCGCUUUUGCAUGAUAUACUAGUUACUAUGGUAAUCUAAGUCACAGCAGCUCAGACGAGGCACCAAGCAGUGUGGGUGGGGAGCGUUUCCAUAGUGUGAUUCCAGAGCGGCCAGCCUGAAAUGCGGGUGUCAGGGACAGAGGCGGAAGGAGAUUUUUACAACGAAGUUCUAAAGCUUAGCGAUAUAUCAGAUUGUAGGAGUUUUUUGUUUUUUUUAUACCCUUCGCGUUCAUAUUUCGCUGUUUGUUGCAUUUUGCUUGAUUGUAAAAUAUGUCGAUCGAGAGUGGGUGACGUUCAUAUGUUGUCAAUAUUCAGUGUUUUAUCGUUCGUAGUUGAUAGUGUAAAUCCCACAUUCUUUUUCAUGUACAUUCUGGAUGUCUUUCAGUAAAAAAAAAUUAAAUUCCAUUCUGUUUUUUAA